rnacentral:lncRNA from 1 species
UUCUGCCUCUCUUUUUGGCCCUGGCAUUGCUGGCCCCAACCACAUUCCUGAUUGCCCGGGAAGAACAGCCUUUGAAAUUCAACAUCUGCUUCUGGGUAGUUGGUUGAACAAGCCCACCUGACCAAGAGAGGGAAGCACGCUAACUGUUUUCAGUUUGGACACUCUUGGGGGCUUUUUAGUAAUUGCAUGUGUUUCUGAGCAAGUGAGUGUCUUUUGUGGGUACCAGACAACAGGAUUGCUCCUCUCAACUAGGGACAGUCUGAAGAAUUUUGGUGUGCAAAUUCAUCAAGCUCACCCCAUGGAAAGAGGAAGCUCCGCUGUUUCAGUUUGGACACUCUUGGGGUUUGUUGGUUGCUGCAGCACUUGGAUUGUAUUUUGGUGAUUGUUUGUGUAUGUCAAUAUAGCCAUGGGAAGUAAGAAUUUGAUAAGCUGAUAAUCUUAUGUAAUACUGUUUGGCCUCAUAUCUUUGAAUCUGGAUAAGUUUGGCCUCUCCAUGUGCCUCGUUUUGCUGCUGAAUGGCAAAGCAGGGUGGAGUUUUGUGUAUUCAGGCUUUUAUGCUGUUGUUCAAAGCAAGGUCAGGCUUGAUUAGUACAUGAUGUUCUUCUGUGGUUUUUUCUGGCUCCAGUCAUCCUUGGAGUGUGGAGAGAUUUAGCCUUUAAAAAUCAAAAUGCCACAGAAACUGCUAUACCCAAAACUUUGGUUCACAACCUUCAUUGGAUUGCCUAUCAGGUCAAAAGAAGUUUAGCCAUGUGAACGUGUUCAUAAGCCUGUGAGUUUGUAUUGGUAUCUCAUGGCUAGAGUUCCAAGCAUUUCUGCUGUUCAAAUUCUCUCUGCAUUUCAUGACAGCAUCUACAUUCAAGAUUCCCAGAGGCACCAUCCACAAAGCUCUACAGCAUUUAGAUGGAGUUGCAAUUUGUUUCUAAGACAGAGGACAAGAAAUAUGAAGAAGCCUUUCCCUGGAGGCUGAUCCACGUGAUUCAGGAGAGGAAAUGUUUAGAGUUAGAAAGACUCCAUACAGUGCCUAGCUCCAGAUAAGGCUCAUGGUUCUUUCACAGUUAUGUGUGAAUAUGAAUGUGGCUUUUAUAUAUGUGGGCUGCUUUUUAAAUGAAAGGUAAUUUUCUUUUUUAUCAGUCUGGGAGACAAAAACCAAUGGAUGUGUGAAGUAUUGGAGUGAUGUUAACAGGAGCCCUGAGUGCACUGACUGUCCGCCUUGCAGUCCCACACUGUCGGCCUAGAGACCAGAGGAAGGAUCUAGGAGCAGGGAGAGAUCUGUGGCUCCUCUUUGUAUUCCCUCUAAUGAAGGUGUGAAGGUUAGAGGAAAAAUACUGUUACCCAGGUCAUUGAAAAUACCACAGGUAAUUUUAAUUUCUA